AUGAUUCAAGCUAGUUUGAAAUAAUAAGAGAUGCUGUAGUUACAAGUGACUAAUGUGCAACAGAGACCACAAUAUGGAACUACUGUGCAAGAUACCUAAAAUAUGCCCCUGUUAUAUCUGGGAAUGUGUCUAGCAGAAGGACUAAACUUUUAAAUAAAAUUAAUUGUUCA